GAAACAUUUGGUGCAUGCGUUUUACGCAGUGCACUCUCGCAACGAUCAGUCCCAACCUUUUUAUUCUUCUUCAGCACGGGAUUUGUAUUGCUUUGGAUACAGGAAGUAGAGCUGUGUAACUGUUGUCAAUAAAGGGUAAAAUAUAAAUCCAGCUGAUCAAUCAGUUGUCUGUCAUACCCGACUGUUAGUUUGCAAUUUCUACAUUGCACAUCGAAGUAAAACAUGUCAACUACUGCUCAACUAUUCGAGGAGCCCUUUGAUGCAGACGAGUACAUAGAGAGGUUGGCCUGGAGAACCCCUGGAGGAGGGUCCAAAGGAGGAGCAGAGGCAUUCGAUCCCAAAAGGCUGCUGGAGGAGUUUGAGAACCAUAUAGAGGAGCUGAAGCAUCUGGAUGAGAAGAUCCAGCGGCGGGUGGAGAAGCUGGAGCACCAGUGUCACAGAGAAGCCAAGGAGUUUGCCCACAAAGUACAGGACUUACAGAGGAGCAACCAGGUAGCCUUCCAGCACUUCCAGGAGUUGGACGAGCACAUCAGCUAUGUGGCCACCAAGGUGUGUCACCUUGGUGACCAGCUGGAGGGCGUGAACACGCCCAGGCAGAGGGCUGUGGAGGCCCAGCGUCUCAUGACCUACUUUAAUGAGUUCCUGGAUGGGGAGCUGCGCAGUGAUGUCUUCAACAACCCAGAAAAAAUUAAGGAAGCUGCUGAUAUCAUUCAGAAGUUGCAUCUCAUAGCCCAGGAGCUGCCAUUCGACAGGUUUGCAGAUGUUAAGGCCAAGAUUGCAAGUAAAUACCACGACCUGGAGCGCCAGCUGAUCCAGGAGUUCACGGCGGCCCAGCGUAGGGGCGAGAUUGGACGCAUGCGGGAAGUCGCUGCGGUCCUCUUACACUUCAAGGGCUAUGCACACUGUGUGGAUGUAUAUAUCAAGCAGUGCCAGGAGGGGGCGUACAUGCGUAGUGAUGUGUUUGAAGACACUGCACUCCUCUGCCAGCGGGUCAACAAGCAGGUGGGAGAGGUCUUCCAGAGCCCCGAGACCGUCAUGGCCAAACUCAUCCAGAACAUCUUUGAGAACAAACUACAGGCCCACGUAAAAGAAAAACUGGAUGAAACCCGCCACUCUGAUGUAGAACAAUACCUCAAAAACCUCUAUGACCUUUAUACCAGGACAACGGCCUUGGCUUCCAAGCUGACCGAGUUCAACCUGGGCUCAGACAAACACACCUUCCUGUCUAAGCUCAUUAAAAACAUCUUCUCCUCCUAUCUGGAGAGCUACAUUGAAAUGGAGAAAGAUUACCUCCGCACACGCAGCGCCAUGAUCCUUCAGCGCUACUACGACUCCAAGAACCACCAGAAACGCCCACAGGGUGGGGGCAGUAUCCAAGAGCUGAAGGAGCGGAUCAGGCAGCGCACCAACCUGCCCCUGGGGCCCAGCAUUGACACCCACGGAGAGACCUUCCUCUCUCAGGAGGUGGUGGUCAACCUGCUCCAGGAGACGCGCCACGCUUUCGAGAGGUGCAACAGGCUCUCAGAUCCCUCGGACCUGCCCAAGAACGCCUUCUCCAUCUUCCUGCUGCUGGUGGAGCACCUGUGUGUGGACCACAUCGACUACGCACUGGAGAUCGGCCUCUCCGCCAUUCCCUCAGCUGAUGCCAAGAAUGCCAACCUGUACUUCCUGGAUGUGGUCCAGCAGGCCAACACCAUCUUCCACCUGUUUGAUAAGCAGUUCAACGACCACCUGAUGCCUCUUAUCAGCUCGUCUCCCAAACUGACAGAGUGCCUGCACAAGAAGAAGGAGGUGAUUGAACAGAUGGAGGUGAAACUGGACACAGGCAUAGACAGGACACUGAACUGCAUGGUGGGACAGAUGAAGCACAUCCUGGCUACGGAACAGAAGAAGACAGACUUCAGGCCUGAAGAUGAGAACAACGUCAUGAUCCAGUGCACCGCAGCCUGCUCCAAGGUUUGUGUGUAUGUGAGUCGGCAGGUAGAGCGUGUGCGGAAGUCCAUGGACGGUAAGAACGUGGACACAGUUCUGACGGAGCUGGGUGUGCGUUUCCACCGCCUCAUCCACGAGCACCUGCAGCAGUACAGCUACAGCUCCAUGGGAGGCAUGCUGGCCAUCUGCGACGUGGCCGAGUACCGCAAAAGUGCCAAGGACUUCCGGGUUCCUCUUGUGCUGCAGCUCUUUGACACACUCCACGCCCUGUGUAACCUCCUGGUGGUUGCCCCAGACAACCUCAAACAGGUCUGCUCCGGCGAGCAGCUCACCAACCUGGACCGGAACCUUCUGCACGCCUUCGUACAGCUGAGAGUGGACUACCGCCAGGCCAGACUGGGACGACACUUCAGCUAAUGGCCCUGGCCAAUGCGUCGCUGUCCAGCCCUCGGUCCGUCCAAUGACCACGGCCUAUGAUUUCACAAAGCUCACCAUGGAAACGGAAUUCAGCCAACCUGGAUGGAGUCUUCUCUGAGUUAGUCUUUCAUUCUCAUCUGCAGUAGCACCUUUUGCUUUGUCCGUCCUAGAGGCCAAGAAAGACCACCGCCAUUCACAGUUGGUCUACAGGUAGCCUAGCGGUUAGAGCAGGGUUUCUUAAACUAUGGGUCGGGACCCAAAGUGGGCCCUGAGUUUGUGGGAGGUGGGUCGAGUUAUGAGAAUACAUACAUAAUCACACACUAUUUCUUUUUAAUUUGGGUUGUUGGAGGACGAUUUGGGUCACGGGAGGACGGUCAAUUUCUCAUUUGGGUCUCGAGCUGAUAAAGUUUAAGAAACCCUGGGUUAGAGCAUUGGGCCAGUAUCCGAGAGGUUGCUGGUUUGAAUACUCGAGCCAACAAGGUGAAUAAUCUGUUUAUGUGCCCUUGAGCAUGGCACUUAACCUUAGUUUGCUCCAGGGGUGCGAUACUACUAUGACUGACCCUGUAAAACAGGGCUGUCAAAUUCAUUCCAUGGAGGGCCUAGUGUCUGCUGGUUUUUGGUUUUUCCUUUCAAUUAAGACCUAGACAACCAGGUGAGUUGAGUUCCUUACUAAUCAGUGACCUUAAUUCAUCAAUCAAGUACAAGGGAGGAUGAAAACCUGCAGACACUCAGCCCUCCGUAGAAUGAGUUUGACACGUGCUGUAAAACAACACAUUUUCACUGCACCUUUCACCUAAAUUUACCUGCAUUUUGCCCUUGAUUUCUGCAACACAAGGAAUUUUAAAUGUAUAUGACUCUUGUUUUGAAAUACUAAUCCACCAAAACAUGAUUGUGUCAUAUUACCGGUAAUAUGAACCUUGAUUUCCAAGCUUUCAACUUAACAUAAAGAGAUAUUUUGUUUUGAUUGUGCCAAAUGUAUAUUCUGUGGCUGCACUUGUACACAGGAACAGACUUUAAAGCUACUGCAAAGACAAAGUUGAGCUCUUCAUAGCUCAGGCCUGUCAUGGCACUGACUGACUGCAUACUGGAAACAGCCACCCCUCAUACAGAACUCCCAGAGGAAUCUACUCUCACCAACAUUCUCUCUCUCUCUCUCUCUCUCUCUCUCUCUCUCUCUCUCUCUCUCUCUCUCUCUCUCUCUCUCUCUCUCUCCUCCCGAACCAAGCCUGCUAAAGAGCUCCGCUGUGCCUGGCAGAGAGAGUCACAUGACCACCUCUCUCUGACCUCAAGGGAGAGGUGAGGGGUCAACACACUGGCUGUGAUCCCAGCCGUAAUCAUGUCUGAGAACCACUCGGGGGUCCUGGGUGGUCCGUCUGUGGCUAAGAUGACGGGUGCGAGAGGUUAUUCUCCCCCAUCAUCCACACUCAACACCAUUCUUCCAGCAACCCACUCUUCCACACUAAGAUGUCAUAGCACUUUCAGUUUGUCCACUCUGUCUACGCUACAAGCCCAGCUAGUCCUUCAGAAUCCCACAAAUCCCUGCUUUCGGCGUCUCCCUCCCAUACAUGCCGGUCCUCCCUCUGCCUCCUGGAGCACUGACAAUAAAGCAUUACAGCAGUCAAUCCAUGUCAACAACAGCUUUGCUUAAUUCCUGCUAAACACAUUUAAGCUAAAUCUUCACCUAAUGAUGCAUAGUGAUUAGCACUUGCUCUUUCGUCUGCCGGCGGCUUGUAUCAAUUUCACUUAUGUAUUUGAUUUUCCUGCCAUCAUCAGAGAGAUGACUCAGGUGUGGGCGCUGUAGCAGCCAGGCUGGGAGGGUGUUAAGGAUCCCCCUUCAAAUUAGACACCAAGUAAUUAACACUUGUAUUGUGGGCUGCUUUGUAUUCAUACAACACCCCUCAUCAGCCUCUUUGAUGUGGGAAUCAGAUUAAUGAUGCCAGAGCCAGCAAUAACUGGUGCUAUUCAACUGCCUGUUGUCCCUAUCUACAUUUCAUAUCAGACAUUUGUCACUUGACAUCUACAGUAUGGCUUGAAAAGAGGGAGUCGAGAUGCAAAAGGAGUCCCAGUGCAUAUUAAUAGUGUGUAAUCAAAGGCAGGUUGGAUACAGCUAUGAUAGGGGUUGCAAACAGGGUGCUUUCCAAUUGAAAGAUAGAAUGGGUUGUUGUUCAUGUGCUGCCCCUUUUCAAAAGCCAUUCUUCAGGAUGUCACUACGUGAGAGGCUUAGAACAGGAGUCAGGAGGUGGGCAUCGUGCCAGACACUUACCCCGCCAGGCUCUCUUAAUGUGCUGUAGAUUUUGCCCUGGCCUUGACCCACUGCCCAGAGUGUGCCAGCCAGGCCCAACAUGGCACAGGUGUCAUGCCACCUUUAGUCUUGGGCAUCCUGGAAAUUCACUAGGCAGAAUGAGACUGAUGCCAAUGCUCUCCUCCUUCGCCUCACUCGUCAUAGUGAAGGCCUAGUCCACUGUGGCCCAAUUGAGCCCUCCCUCGAAUCAUUUAAUCAUACACCACCAUCCUUUUGAUAAUAUGAAACCAACGUGCAGUGCUGUGCUUUGUUCUCUCCCACUCCUUCCCUCUGCGCCAUAACUCUAUUAAUACUAUUCAUCAUUUUGCGGAGCUGUUUCCUGGCUCGAUGCCUGUGCUGUGCACGCUCUUGGCUGGGCUUGUCUGUUUGACUGCUCCACAGGAACAGACUGGCACUCUGACUGAGGGCUCCGGGCUUCGGGGCCUGCACACACAAUCAGCUAAGCAUGGAUCUGUCUCCGAGGCCUGCACACACAAUCAGCUAAGCAUGGAUCUCUGUCUAUGAUAAACAGGGUUGACUUCUCACGAGAAAUCCAAAUAUAAAUUGUCUCAAUGCUACUUUUAGUUGCUAAUCUGUAUCACUUACCCGCACACACACACGCAUGCACACAUACAUACACACAAAACAACAGCUAGGUUCAAUAGCACUCACCCAACCCUGGGAUGUGAGCAGUUAGGUGUCUUGAUCAUGGGUUUGGGUUGUUUUCCAAUACAAACAUCUGCAGCACCCCACUGAGCCACCACACUUGGCAGAGAGAAACAGAGCUCUCUCCUCGACUAAAGAUGAAACACUACGUCAACACAAAAACACAUGCUUUUGUUUCAUCAAGCAUUUGCCUUGAGGGUAGAUCAAAUGUAAAUGAAUGUGUUCUGUGCUCUCCUCCCAAGUAUUUUCCCAUGUGGAAUGAGUAGCCGUGCUGCUGUAGAAAUGGUUCAGUACCUCUAGUAGGCCAGCAGAGGGCAGUAGUGCUCUUGUAUUGCUCUCCUCCCUUGAAGAACUCUCUCUUCCUCAGAGCUGCUCACAAUGGGGAUCUGCCUGAGGGGUGAAAUUUUGCUUUUUUAGGUCUGUAAACCCAUAUCCCUUAAUCCCCAGCCAUGAUUGACAAUCAUGAUUUAGGGUAUAUGGUGUCCCAUUCUAAUCCAUGAGCAAUGAUUCAUUUGCAUACCUUCCGUGCGUGGCCUCAUUUUGGAGGAGGAAACCGCUGCCUUUGUAAGUGACACAGAGAGAGAAAGAGAGAGCUGAGGAGACAGUGUAUGACAGACAGAGAACAGGAAGAAGAAGAAGAGAGCAUGGAUGGGGGAAUUCUUGUGAAUUUUGCCAGAGGGGAGAUGAUUGCAGUCUCCAUGCCUCACCAAACUUGCCCUUUGCCCGUCUUCUUCUCCAGCAAGACUUUCCUCUGACACAGUGAUACACACACACACAGGCAAACAGACACACUCAACACACACAGACACAGAGACAACCAUCAAACAUAAAACACAGAUCCCAGAGCAUAUACAGAAAUAGAGACACAAGGGGACACAGAGGAGAAACACAGAGAUGCUCCCUCACACGUUGCAAAACUAAAUUGGUAUUUGCUCAUUUUAUAUCCAAGUCAGGCUUAAUUAUAAUCAUGGGAGUUUGGGAGUUACCGUAUAAUCUCUGGAAGGUAUUAAGAAUUACCCAGAACACACCACAGCAAAAGAAACAAAUACAAAUACUUACAAUUACUUUCCAGUCAUAAUACACGAGGGAUUAAACAUCAAAUAAUGCAUGCUGUUUGGCAUACCUUCAGAGAGCAUUCAUCCACACUGUAUCAAUGAGAGCAUUGUACAGAGGGGGAUCGCCUGAUCGAGGGGUUUUAUGGUCAAUGUCUGGGCUUACUGUACUACAUGUACAUCAAAUCAUUUGCACAACAAUUUCUAUGUUUUGCUAAAUAUCCUGUGAGUGUAUAGGAUGCAAUUAGGCCUUUAUUUUCAAUAUUAAAAUGUGAAUAUCUCACUGUCUCACACGUAACACACUGUUGUUACAUGUUCAUGAUUAAAGGAUAAAUAUGGAUUCA